CCUACGGGUGGCUGCAGUGGGGAAUAUUGGGCAAUGGAGGAAACUCUGACCCAGCAACGCCGCGUGAAUGAUGAAGGUCCUCGGAUUGUAAAGUUCUUUUCUAAGGGAAGAAGAAAGGGACGGUACCUUAGGAAUAAGCCUCGGCUAACUACGAGCCAGCAGCCGCGGCAAUACGUAGGAGGCGAGCGUUAUCCGGUAUGACUGGGCGUAAAGGGUGCGUAGGUGGUUUGGCAAGUUAGUAGGGAAACUCCAAGGCUCAACCUUGGAACUGCUACUGAAACUGUUGGACUUGAGUGCAGGAGGGGCAGCCGGAAUUCCUAGUGUAGCGGUGAAAUGCGUAGAUAUUAGGAGGAACACCGGUGGCGAAGGCGGGUUGCUAGACUGUAACUGACACUGAGGCACGAAAGCGUGGGGAGCAAACAGGAUUAGAUACCCCUGUAGUC
rnacentral:rRNA from 1 species